rnacentral:rRNA from 1 species
GACGAACGCUGGCGGCGUGCCUAAUACAUGCAAGUAGAACGCACAGUUUAUACCGUAGCUUGCUACACCAUAGACUGUGAGUUGCGAACGGGUGAGUAACGCGUAGGUAACCUGCCUGGUAGCGGGGGAUAACUAUUGGAAACGAUAGCUAAUACCGCAUAAUAUUAAUUAUUGCAUGAUAAUUAAUUGAAAGGUGCAAUUGCACCACUACCAGGUGGACCUGCGUUGUAUUAGCUAGUAGGUGAGGUAACGGCUCACCUAGGCGACGAUACAUAGCCGACCUGAGAGGGUGAUCGGCCACACUGGGACUGAGACACGGCCCAGACUCCUACGGGAGGCAGCAGUAGGGAAUCUUCGGCAAUGGACGAAAGUCUGACCGAGCAACGCCGCGUGAGUGAAGAAGGUUUUCGGAUCGUAAAGCUCUGUUGUAAGAGAAGAACGGGGGUGAGAGUGGAAAGUUCACACUGUGACGGUAUCUUACCAGAAAGGGACGGCUAACUACGUG